AGAGUUUGAUCCUGGCUCAGGAUGAACGCUGGCGGCGUGCCUAAUACAUGCAAGUCGAGCGAACAGAUAAGGAGCUUGCUCCUUUGACGUUAGCGGCGGACGGGUGAGUAACACGUGGGUAACCUACCUAUAAGACUGGAAUAACUCCGGGAAACCGGGGCUAAUGCCGGAUAAUAUUUAGAACCGCAUGGUUCUAAAGUGAAAGAUGGUUUUACUAUCACUUAUAGAUGGACCCGCGCCGUAUUAGCUAGUUGGUGGGGUAAUGGCUUACCAAGGCAACGAUACGUAGCCGACCUGAGAGGGUAAUCGGCCACACUGGAACUGAGACACGGUCCAGACUCCUACGGGAGGCAGCAGUAGGGAAUCUUCCGCAAUGGGCGAAAGCCUGACGGAGCAACGCCGCGUGAGUGAUGAAGGUCUUCGGAUCGUAAAACUCUGUUAUUAGGGAAGAACAGAUGUGUAAGUAACUGUGCACGUCUUGACGGUACCUAAUCAGAAAGCCACGGCUAACUACGUG
rnacentral:rRNA from 1 species